AUUCAACUGACGAGUCUCAAAUAGGACGAAACACGCGUCAAACUGGAU
rfam:Schistosoma rodhaini strain Burundi genome assembly, scaffold: SROB_scaffold0004946